AGGUAAUUUGAAUAGUGUUAUCAAUUGAAGUGCUACUAGUCAGUCGUACGCUAUACACUUAAAUAUGUUCAAGGACUUGGAGUUGCGAUAACAAUUUGGGCUAUGAAGGGAAAUGAUAGGCGAUCCAACUGAGUUUGAAUUUACAAUUAAAAUCAAACAUUGCAGACGAACACCUAUAGGUCCAAUUCUCAAGGCGUAUGGGUUAGCAUGACUAAGAUUAGUUGCCCAGCACGUGCUUGCAGAUCAAAGUAUGUGUGUGUUCGCGGCAUGUUUAUCGUGGGUGUGCGGCCAUGAUGGAAAUAGUGUCUACAUAAACGAACAUGGUAAAAUCAAAUGUGCCCAUAGUGAGAAGAGUGAAGGUAUACACAUAGCUGACGUAUGUCAAUCGGGGUGGACAUGUGGAGACAGUUCUCACAAAGACGAGUACAUCAAAUCGGAUUUCGAUAGUUUUGUGUUUGCAGUUUCUGAUGCUUUAAAAUUCAGUAGUAAACAAUCAUCAAGUUGGAUUGUUACGUUAACUUCAUCGUUAGGAAGACAAUUCGAUGUGUGAAUGCAAUACUUAUGCUAAUAACUGGAAACGUUGAAAAUUCAAAUAAUAACUAAGUUAAUAGUUUAAUAAAAUUGCAUAAUAAAAUA